rnacentral:tRNA from 1 species
GUAGGCUUAGUUUAAUGAAGACAUUAGAUUGUGAUUCUAAAAAUAGAGGUUAAACCCCUCUAACCCACC